GACGAACGCUGGCGGCGUGCUUAACACAUGCAAGUCGAACGGAAAGAGCUCUCUUGGUGGGUACUCGAGUGGCGAACGGGUGAGUAAUACGUGAGUAACCUGCUGUUUAUUUUGGAAUAACUUCAGGAAACUGGGGCUAAUACCGAAUAGGAGCUCCUGCUGCAUGGUGGGGGUUGGAAAGUUUAGGCUGUUGGGGAUGGAUUCGCGGCUUAUCCGCUUGUUGGUGGGGUAGUGGUUUACCAAGGCUUUGACGGGUCGCCGGACUGAGAGGGUGACAGGCCGCAUUGAGACUGAGGUACGGCCCAGACGCCUACGGUAGGCAGCAGUGGGGAAUAUUGCACCAUGGGUGGAAGCCUGAUGCAGCAGCGCCGUGGGCGGGAUGACGGCCUUCGGGUUGUGAACCGCUAUCACUCAAGCAGAAGCUUUGUGUGACGGUAGUGGGUAAAUAAGCACCGGCUAACUACGUG
rnacentral:rRNA from 1 species